rnacentral:rRNA from 1 species
CCAGCAGCCGCGGUAAUUCCAGCUCCAAUAGCGUAUAUUAAAGUUGUUGCAGUUAAAAAGCUCGUAGUUGGAUUUCUGGUGAUAGCGACCAUUCAUGACUUGAUUGUCAUUGUGAUGUGUUGCCUGUUGCCAUCCUCGUAGAGAUUGUUUCUGGCAUUAAUUUGUUGGAUUCGGGACCUACGUCAUUUACUGUGAAAAAAUUAGAGUGUUUAAAGCAGGCAAUUGGCUUGAAUACAUUAGCAUGGAAUAAUAAGAUAGGACUUUGGUGCUAUUUUGUUGGUUUGCACAUCAAGGUAAUGAUUAACAGAAACAGUCGGGGAUAUUAGUAUGUAAAUGUCAGAGGU